rnacentral:tRNA from 1 species
GGGGAUUUAGCUUGGUGGUAUAAGUGCCUGCCUGGCAAGCACAAGGUUGUGAGUUCAAUCCCCG